rnacentral:rRNA from 1 species
AGAGUUUGAUCCUGGCUCAGAUUGAACGCUGGCGGCAGGCCUAACACAUGCAAGUCGAGCGGUAACAGGGGUAGCUUGCUACCCGCUGACGAGCGGCGGACGGGUGAGUAAUGCAUAGGAAUCUGCCCGAUAGUGGGGGAUAACCUGGGGAAACCCAGGCUAAUACCGCAUACGUCCUACGGGAGAAAGGGGGCUUCGGCUCCCGCUAUUGGAUGAGCCUAUGUCGGAUUAGCUAGUUGGUAAGGUAAUGGCUUACCAAGGCAACGAUCCGUAGCUGGUCUGAGAGGAUGAUCAGCCACAUCGGGACUGAGACACGGCCCGAACUCCUACGGGAGGCAGCAGUGGGGAAUAUUGGACAAUGGGGGCAACCCUGAUCCAGCCAUGCCGCGUGUGUGAAGAAGGCCCUCGGGUUGUAAAGCACUUUCAGCGAGGAAGAACGCCUAUCGGUUAAUACCCGGUAGGAAAGACAUCACUCGCAGAAGAAGCACCGGCUAACUCCGUGCCAGCAGCCGCGGUAAUACGGAGGGUGCAAGCGUUAAUCGGAAUUACUGGGCGUAAAGCGCGCGUAGGUGGCUUGAUAAGCCGGUUGUGAAAGCCCCGGGCUCAACCUGGGAACGGCAUCCGGAACUGUCAGGCUAGAGUGCAGGAGAGGAUGGUAGAAUUCCAGGUGUAGCGGUGAAAUGCGUAGAGAUCUGGAGGAAUACCGAUGGCGAAGGCAGCCAUCUGGCCUAACACUGACGCUGAGGUGCGAAAGCAUGGGGAGCAAACAGGAUUAGAUACCCUGGUAGUCCAUGCCGUAAACGAUGUCUACUAGCCGUUGGGGCCUUUGAGGCUUUAGUGGCGCAGCUAACGCGAUAAGUAGACCGCCUGGGGAGUACGGCCGCAAGGUUAAAACUCAAAUGAAUUGACGGGGGCCCGCACAAGCGGUGGAGCAUGUGGUUUAAUUCGAUGCAACGCGAAGAACCUUACCUACCCUUGACAUCUACAGAAGCCGGAAGAGAUUCUGGUGUGCCUUCGGGAACUGUAAGACAGGUGCUGCAUGGCUGUCGUCAGCUCGUGUUGUGAAAUGUUGGGUUAAGUCCCGUAACGAGCGCAACCCUUGUCCUUAUUUGCCAGCGAGUAAUGUCGGGAACUCUAAGGAGACUGCCGGUGACAAACCGGAGGAAGGUGGGGACGACGUCAAGUCAUCAUGGCCCUUACGGGUAGGGCUACACACGUGCUACAAUGGCCGGUACAAAGGGCUGCGAGCUCGCGAGAGUCAGCGAAUCCCUUAAAGCCGGUCUCAGUCCGGAUCGGAGUCUGCAACUCGACUCCGUGAAGUCGGAAUCGCUAGUAAUCGUGAAUCAGAAUGCCGCGGUGAAUACGUUCCCGGGCCUUGUACACACCGCCCGUCACACCAUGGGAGUUUGUUGCACCAGAAGUAGCUAGCCUAACUGCAAAGAGGGCGGUUACCACGGUGUGGCCGAUGACUGGGGUGAAGUCGUAACAAGGUAGCCGUA